rnacentral:rRNA from 1 species
CCUACGGGUGGCAGCAGUGGGGAAUAUUGCACAAUGGGGGAAACCCUGAUGCAGCGACGCCGCGUGAGUGAAGAAGUAAUUCGGUAUGUAAAGCUCUAUCAGCAGGGAAGAAAAUGACGGUACCUGAGUAAGAAGCCCCGGCUAACUACGUGCCAGCAGCCGCGGUAAUACGUAGGGGGAAAGCGUUAUCCGGAUUUACUGGGUGUAAAGGGAGCGUAGACGGCAGUGCAAGUCUGGAGUGAAAGGCGGCGGCUCAACCCGCGGACUGCUCUGGAAACUGUACGGCUGGAGUGCAGGAGAGGUAAGUGGAAUUCCAAGUGUAGCGGUGAAAUGCGUAGAUAUAAGGAGGAACACCAGUGGCGAAGGCGGCUUACUGGACUGUAACUGACGUUGAGGCUCGAAAGCGUGGGGAGCAAACAGGAUUAGAUACCCGAGUAGUC